ensembl:lncRNA
AAAAGGAGCAAAGCUCUUUCUGUUUAGCCUGCAGGAGCUGUAAUCAGUACUCACUUGUCCUCCAGCCUCCCCUGUGCCUGAUGGACAUACUGAUCUCACAGCAAACCGAGUUGCCCAAUGCUGAGGAUGUGGGUCUGUCAGCUUCAUAUCUAACCAAAGCCUCAACACUGUGAUUCUGGGCUGUGUCGGUGCCAUCAGGUGCAGGUGAGAGGCAGCACAUCCAUCCUGAGACCUAGAAAACAGGUUCAGAAUGCAUCCACUCAUCUUCCAGACCUCUGGAUGACCAUCCAUCAUGACCGUCGUCUCCAUCCUUGUCUUAUGACACAGCUUGCCAGAAAAGCUGGCAGCCCUUCCAUGGCCAACAGGAUGACCUUGUGGUGCUCAUAGGACAGGGCAUGGGACAGCUCAGCCUUUUGCUCCCAGUCCUUCAGAAAUCCUGGAUCAGCGCUGAGCACUGAUUAAGGAAUGUUUGAACUUUAAAGCAGUUUCCUAUAUCAGCUGAUGUUGUGUUUCAGCUGCUGAAGUCCCAGGGCCAGAUUAAAACAUCUGCCACGAGAAAUAAAAGGUCACUAAAUCUGAACCUUUC